AGUGAACGCUGGCGGUAGGCCUAACACAUGCAAGUCGAACGGCAGCACAGUAAGAGCUUGCUCUUACGGGUGGCGAGUGGCGGACGGGUGAGGAAUACAUCGGAAUCUACUUUUUCGUGGGGGAUAACGUAGGGAAACUUACGCUAAUACCGCAUACGACCUACGGGUGAAGGCAGGGGAUCUUCGGACCUUGCGCGAUUGAAUGAGCCGAUGUCGGAUUAGCUAGUUGGCGGGGUAAAGGCCCACCAAGGCGACGAUCCGUAGCUGGUCUGAGAGGAUGAUCCGCCACACUGGAACUGAGACACGGUCCAGACUCCUACGGGAGGCAGCAGUGGGGAAUAUUGGACAAUGGGCGCAAGCCUGAUCCAGCCAUACCGCGUGGGUGAAGAAGGCCUUCGGGUUGUAAAGCCCUUUUGUUGGGAAAGAAAAGCAGCAGGUUAAUACCCCGCUGUUCUGACGGUACCCAAAGAAUAAGCACCGGCUAACUUCGUG
rnacentral:rRNA from 1 species